rnacentral:lncRNA from 1 species
AUGCUACGUACAGGAUACAUCAUAAUGCAAGGAAGCCUCUUGAGAUUAUCAACCAAAAAAAACACAGCAACAAAGUCCGAUUACUUUGACAUCAAUACUUUGAAGAAAACUCACAAUAUAAAGUUCCAAAUUCAUGAGUUACUUAUCCAAUACCUAGCUUCUUUAGCAUUCGGCUGUCAAAACUUAUACGAUGUCAUGAAUUAG